rnacentral:SRP_RNA from 1 species
GCCGGGUGCUGAGGCCCACACCUGUAAUCCCAGCACUUUGGGAGGCUAAGGCGGGAGGAUCACUUGAGCCCAGGAGUUUGAGACAAGCCUGGGCAAUAUAGUGAGACCCCGUCUUUA